rnacentral:misc_RNA from 1 species
AAUAGAAUUCCUAAAUAAUAUAAAUUUCGUAAUUAAUAAGAACCUAAACUUCUUAAAUUUAUAAUGAAAAAUUAAAUCAAAACAAUUUAUUUUCCUUAACUGCAUCAGCAAUUUUCUGGGUGGGGCAAAGAAUUUUCCAUUGAAGUUAUGACAUUCUGAAGCUUUUACUGAUUUCUGUCAGAAUAUAAAGAGCCAAAGUUUCAUAGUGAAAAUUUAUUUAGAGUUCUGUGCCUCUUCCACCUUGCCGUGACUGCCUUUUUUUUUUUGAACAAUGUGACAGUUUUUCCUUCUUAACUGUCGUUGCUUUGAUGCAAUUCGGCUUUGUAAUCUUUCCAUUAUUGUAGGACUUCCUGUUGCUUUUAUGG